rnacentral:rRNA from 1 species
GAUCAUCUCAGGAUGAACGCUAGCUACAGGCUUAACACAUGCAAGUCGAGGGGAAACGACAUCGAAAGCUUGCUUUUGAUGGGCGUCGACCGGCGCACGGGUGAGUAACGCGUAUCCAACCUGCCCACCACUUGGGGGAUAACCUUGCGAAAGUAAGACUAAUACCCAAUGACGUCUCUAGAAGACAUCUGAAGGAGAUUAAAGAUUUAUCGGUGAUGGAUGGGGAUGCGUCUGAUUAG